rnacentral:lncRNA from 1 species
UGGUAGGACCCGAAUCACUUGGGACUGCCUGGCGGCAUUCCCCUCUCCUGCUCAGAAAGAAAACGGCUUUGCAGCAGAGAAGGGCUUUUCCGCUUCCCUGGGGCCGUGGAUGCCGGGGAGCCCCCCGCUCUUAGGGGAAAGCCAAGAUCUGGGGCAGCAUCUACUCCCCACCCCCAGAGUUUAGGUUCCAGUGUUUUCCGGAGGGAGAUGGAGCCUCGGCGGACCCUUGGACCCUAGGGGCAAAAGAGCUAGACUGCUCUCGGGCCCCACCGCUAGAGCCCCCCUCCGGACCGGGCAGGAGGGGGUUAAGGUGGAGCUGGCUGCAGUAGCCAGCUGGUGGGUCAGGUCCACCCGCGCGGAGCCGAACGCGGAGCGCGCGGGGCGGAAUCCCGGCCGGAGACAGGAGCGAUGGGGAGAGGGCUCGGACCCCUCCCCGCCCUGGGGCCGGCGGGAUUGGGCGGGCAGGGGGCCAGCCCGGAAGCUGGCUUCCUCCAGGCUCCCCCUCUAGCUGCUGCCAAGCUGCCUCUCAGCCAGGCUGACGGAAACUUGGUUCCGCACUCACUGCCCAGGAGACGUGAGGGGUUUUCUCUUGGGGAGAAAUCAGUGGUCGGGCGCUGCCUGGUUCGAAUGCCACCCCACCGGAGGGAGGCCUGCAAGUGUAGGGGUCCCUGAGGGAGAGGAAGUCCUGGGACCAAGGAAACCAGCUUUUGGAGAUCGACCUUUCUGUGUGAGAAGUCUCCCUAGAUGAGCUCUGGAGGAGUGUGUGUUGUGGGGAGCCAGGCUGGGAAGGAGCGGUUCUUCCUCCAGGACUCUGCAGAGGUCAGAGCUGGGAGUGGGGCUGCAGUGUAGGAAGCUCUCCCCUUAGGAGAUGCUGUGUCCUGACCUCGGGAUGGGAGGGCUUUGCCCAGAGUCCCUCCUGAUGUCUGCAGAGGACCAAUGGGGAACCUGGCUGAGCCAAGGGAGGCCCCUGGAGGAGACAGGCCCAGCCAAGUCUAAAGGCUUGUUCCCUGGGAGAAAACGCUUCCAAUGGAUGGAAGCCUGCCCAGAAGAGGCAAAGAGGCUGAGGGAUAGUUCUCAGGCAACGUCACACCUCCUGAGGGCAGCCAGGAGGACUCCGGCUUUUGCUGAGCAUUGCAUCUUACCUCCUUCCUUUCAAAGGCUCCAGAUCCCAGCUUACCUGUCCCCGAGUCCUGUGUGCCCCUAA